CUACGUGCCAGCAGCCGCGGUAAUACGUAGGGUGCGAGCGUUAAUCGGAAUUACUGGGCGUAAAGCGGGCGCAGACGGUUACUUAAGCAGGAUGUGAAAUCCCCGGGCUCAACCUGGGAACUGCGUUCUGAACUGGGUGACUAGAGUGUGUCAGAGGGAGGUAGAAUUCCACGUGUAGCAGUGAAAUGCGUAGAGAUGUGGAGGAAUACCGAUGGCGAAGGCAGCCUCCUGGGAUAACACUGACGUUCAUGCCCGAAAGCGUGGGUAGCAAACAGGAUUAGAUACCCUGGUAGUCCACGCCCUAAACGAUGUCGAUUAGCUGUUGGGCAACUUGAUUGCUUAGUAGCGUAGCUAACGCGUGAAAUUGACCGCCUGGGGAGUACGGUCGCAAGAUUAAAACUCAAAGGAAUUGACGGGGACCCGCACAAGCGGUGGAUGAUGUGGAUUAAUUCGAUGCAACGCGAAGAACCUUACCUGGUCUUGACAU
rnacentral:rRNA from 1 species